UUUGUGCUUUUGUGGCUUAAUUGUGAUUAGAUUGUGCUGUUUGUGAUUAUUUCAUCCUAUAUUAUUGUUAGUUAACUGGUUUUAAUUUUGUUCCUGGGGUUUGAGUUUCUUCUCCAAACUCCUCGGUUGCUUUCACUGCCUCUCUCUUGGUCCAGAGAUUCUGUCUCCAAAGGUUUUUUUUAUUACUAUUUUAUUUUAAUUAACAAGAUUGAAGUGAAUGUACUAUAAUUGCUUGAGGUGUGUGAUAUAUUUGAUUAAUUUGAACACUAGGUUUAAUUAAAUUUAAUUGAAUCAUGGAUAAGAGCAUGUUAGCUGGUUUGGAAUCACUUUCAGAAGCUGAUCAGCAAAGAAUGGUGUCCAUGAUGUAACAGGUUCAAAUCCGUGACAGUGAAAGACUUUUCAGGAAUUAAGAUUGCGGAGGAGUCGGAAUGGAAGAAUAGCAUUCAGGGCUCAACAGGGGUGGUUAACUUGGCUGGAAUGCCCAUAAGUACCAGAUGGUCUUUGGAG